rnacentral:ncRNA from 1 species
UCUUUUAGAAGCCACAAGGUAUGCAGGUUUUUCGAGAUCUGAGGGGGAUGGGUAUAAGUGAGGUUAGUGGCGGGUUUGACGUAAGUCAAUCACUCUCCACUAGUGAUAGGGGUAGAAGAAUGAGUGAGUUUGCUAGAGCUGCAUUUUUCCAGGCGACGUUUGCAAUUGCAGGAAGAAAUUGUAUGAACGAUGAUGGAUGGUAGAUGUGAGAAUGUGGGGGUACGAAUGUGGGGGUGUUUCUGAAUGGUAAUUUUUGUUGAACAUUGUGUUGUGAUGGGGCUACCAACCCUUUAACUGUUUUGGAGUUUAAAUUGGAAGUGCCCUUAUGGUACGAGGCCUGACCGGAGGCUUUUAAUCUGGUACCACGGGUAACCAGGAGCCCACGGAACUUGUUCCGUCCUGGUUAGUUGGUGCGGCCCUUCGGGGAGUAUCGUGGUGGUUGUGGUUUAACACCCAAAUGCGGGUAGAGCAUCGCUCGACGUGGAGUUGCGUCAUACAACCGGGUUCCGUGACCCAGAUUACGGAAGAGGCUUAGAUAGUCCUCGUGCCAAACCAAGGUAGAAGUCACAACCAAACAGUCGUGUCUUUAAUUGGUACCUGCGGAAUUGUUCCAAGGGGGCGGUGAUUGACGCUUGAAUUAAUCCUAUACUAGGAACCGUGAGAUUAAGCCAUCGCGGCAGGUGCUCACGUUAAGCCCACUGACUUUCAUGUCCCUAUCUACUAUCUAGCGAAACCACAGCCAAGGGAACGGGCUUGGAAUAAUUAGCGGGGAAAGAAGACCCUUUUGAGCUUGACUCUAAUCUGGCAGUGUAAGGAGACAUAAGAGGUGUAGAAUAAGUGGGAGAUAUUAGACUUCGGUUUGGUAUCGACAAUGAAAUACCACUACUCUUAUUGUUUCCUUACUUACUUGAUUAAAUGGAACGUGUAUCAUUUCCUAGCCAUUAUACGGAUAUAAUUAUUAUGUUUUAUGGUAUUGGGUUUUGAUGCAAGCUUCUUGAUCAAAGUAUCACGAGUUUGUUAUAUAAUCGCAAACAAAUUCUUUAAUGAGUGAAUGCAUUUAUGUUUCAAGUUCUAAAAUUCAGGUUCCAAUCUACAAACUCCAAUUUCCAACUUCCAAAUUCCAAAUUCCAAAUUCCAAAUUCCAAAUUCCAAACUCCAAAUUCCAAAUUCCAAAUUCCAAAUUCCAAAUUCCAAAUUCCAAAUUACAAAUUACAAACUCCAAACUCCAAACUCCAGACCCCAAAUUCCAAAUUCCAAACUACAAAUUCCAAACUCCAAACUCCAAACUACAAACUACAAACUACAAACUACAAACUACAAACUACAAACUACAAACUACAAA